GCUUAACACAUGCAAGUCGAACGGUGAAGCCAAGCUUGCUUGGUGGAUCAGUGGCGAACGGGUGAGUAACACGUGAGCAACCUGCCCUGGACUCUGGGAUAAGCGCUGGAAACGGCGUCUAAUACUGGAUAUGAGCCCUUAUCGCAUGGUGGGGGUUGUAAAGAUUUUUUGGUCUGGGAUGGGCUCGCGGCCUAUCAGCUUGUUGGUGAGGUAAUGGCUCACCAAGGCGUCGACGGGUAGCCGGCCUGAGAGGGUGACCGGCCACACUGGGACUGAGACACGGCCCAGACUCCUACGGGAGGCAGCAGUGGGGAAUAUUGCACAAUGGGCGAAAGCCUGAUGCAGCAACGCCGCGUGAGGGAUGACGGCCUUCGGGUUGUAAACCUCUUUUAGCAGGGAAGAAGCGAAAGUGACGGUACCUGCAGAAAAAGCGCCGGCUAACUACGUGCCAGCAGCCGCGGUAAUACGUAGGGCGCAAGCGUUAUCCGGAAUUAUUGGGCGUAAAGAGCUCGUAGGCGGUUUGUCGCGUCUGCUGUGAAAUCCCGAGGCUCAACCUCGGGCCUGCAGUGGGUACGGGCAGACUAGAGUGCGGUAGGGGAGAUUGGAAUUCCUGGUGUAGCGGUGGAAUGCGCAGAUAUCAGGAGGAACACCGAUGGCGAAGGCAGAUCUCUGGGCCGUAACUGACGCUGAGGAGCGAAAGGGUGGGGAGCAAACAGGCUUAGAUACCCUGGUAGUCCACCCCGUAAACGUUGGGAACUAGUUGUGGGGACCAUUCC
rnacentral:rRNA from 1 species